UACGUAGGGUGCGAGCGUUGUCCGGAAUUACUGGGCGUAAAGAGCUCGUAGGCGGUUUGUCGCGUCUGCCGUGAAAGUCCGGGGCUCAACUCCGGAUCUGCGGUGGGUACGGGCAGACUAGAGUGAUGUAGGGGAGACUGGAAUUCCUGGUGUAGCGGUGAAAUGCGCAGAUAUCAGGAGGAACACCGAGUGGCGAAGGCAGGUCUCUGGGCAUUAACUGACGCUGAGGAGCGAAAGCAUGGGGAGCGAACAGGG
rnacentral:rRNA from 1 species